CCUCUGCGGCUUAUAUGGCUGGAAAACAGCAGACUGGGUCGGAUACGCUGUCUGACGCUGGUGCAGGUAGGCUGCUAGCCGGUUGUAAGCCUCUAGCAAGUGUCUACAAUACUGUCUUCCACUCAUAUGCCUCGUUGUGGAUUAAAACCUUCACCGGAUCACAAGGUUUGACAAGUCGGAACUGGCCAGGUUCCCAUUCCAGGAUCACCGUCUCCAGGACUCUGAAUGUCUGUCAGGUGGAUCAGACUUGCGAGCUAGAAACCAUGUAGCACCAAAGGAAACGGCACCUUCUGCUACCUCCUUCCCAACUAUGGAGGAGAUAUUCAGGCCACCAGUAAACCAUCUUCACUCUGGAUUGGACCUCUCUGAAUGGAACUGGAUGAUCUUUUUCGGCACCAUCAAGGAACUGGUUGAAUUCCUUGGAUAAAGGAAAACACCUUGGAUUUCAUGAACUGUCUUGACUGAUUUGUCUGUAAAUAUUAAUGCAUAUCACUUAUUUUGCACCA